rnacentral:lncRNA from 1 species
CCGCCUGGAGGGAAGCCGGAGCGACGGGGGUCACGGCGGCGGUCAGAGGGUAAAGGUCUUGCUCCCAGCAGCCUCCGCGGUGGAUACGUCGCCAUCUUGGAUCCGCGGGACAAGAAAAUUCAUGCGAGGGAGACGUGGUGGGCGGUCCUUCCUGUGACACGACCCUUGAGUGACAGUUCUAUUUGAUUGCCUCCGGUACUGUGAGGAAAGGACACGACUCUAUGGUGAGGACUGAUGGACAUACAUUAUCUGAGAAAAGAAACUACCAGGUGACAAACAGCAUGUUUGGUGCUUCAAGAAAGAAGUUUGUAGAGGGGGUCGACAGUGACUACCAUGACGAAAACAUGUACUACAGCCAGUCUUCUAUGUUUCCACAUCGGUCAGAAAAAGAUAUGCUGGCAUCACCAUCUACAUCAGGUCAGCUGUCUCAGUUUGGGGCAAGUUUAUACGGGCAACAAAGUGCACUAGGCCUUCCAAUGAGGGGGAUGAGCAACAAUACCCCUCAGUUAAAUCGCAGCUUAUCACAAGGCACUCAGUUACCGAGCCACGUCACGCCAACAACAGGGGUACCAACAAUGUCACUUCACACGCCUCCAUCUCCAAGCAGGGGUAUUUUGCCUAUGAAUCCUAGGAAUAUGAUGAACCACUCCCAGGUUGGUCAGGGCAUUGGAAUUCCUAGCAGGACAAAUAGCAUGAGCAGUUCAGGGUUAGGUAGCCCCAACAGAAGCUCGCCAAGCAUAAUAUGUAUGCCAAAGCAGCAGCCUUCUCGACAGCCUUUUACUGUGAACAGGUAAGAUGUUUAUUGAUACUGUGUAUAAUUGUCUUUCUGGGUAUACUCAGAUUUGCCUUUUCAUAUUUUCACUUUGUUCUUGAGGUGUGGCUUCUCUCUAAUAAGUGUGUUUCAUCAUGCAUUUAUGUCCAAAGAUUCUGUUACCCAUCACAAAACGAUACGUU